UUAAGAAAUAUUAAAGAGAACCCAUCUUCCCCAUCUCUCCAAUCUCUCCCUAGAUUUUUAUUGCUUUCUAUAUACAUCUUUUUGGUGUAGUGGUUUUGGGUUUGUGUUUUUCUGGGCAAGCGGUGACUACGAAGGAAAACUUGAUAGAUGUUGGUCUUAUUGUUUUCAUGUGGGUUUAAUAAAGGGUUUCUCGCAGAGUUUAUUGGCAUUCUGUCCACCUCCUAUUCAUAAAGUAUGUUUAUGAUCUAUUAUUGUGUGUGUGUGUAUAUAUGUAUAUAUGUAUAUAUAUAUGGAGGUGGGCAUACUGCCAACUGAGUUCUGUUGGUUUCUCUUUGUAAAACCCUCGUGAUAUCUUCCGUUACAUAUUGCUUGCUUUAUGCACUGCCUCCCAUCUUCCUCAUAAAGCUCAUUAAAUAGGUCAGGAGACAAAGUACCGAAAGAGAUGAAGAAGAAACCAAUAUUCAACUGUGCAUUUUACAGGGACAGCUCUCUAUCGAUGAAGGAAGAAAUUAACACAAUUGCAAAUACCUUCCUGUACUGUCCUCAAGCCAAUAUACGUAGGCUCAUGAUUGAAGACUGACAGUCCCAAUAAACAAUGCCAAAAACAUACAUGUAACCACACGCCUUUGCAGCGCGUGGAUAUCCAAAUUCCACCAUGGUUAGAAACUUGUAUAAAAGAAACUCCUUAAUUACAAUAUUUUUUUUGGUCAUUCCUUUUUUUUUUUUUUCAGCUAUUUGGGUACUGCUUAGA